AUUGAACGCUGGCGGCAGGCCUAACACAUGCAAGUCGAGCGGAUGAAGGGAGCUUGCUCCUGGAUUCAGCGGCGGACGGGUGAGUAAUGCCUAGGAAUCUGCCUGGUAGUGGGGGAUAACGUCCGGAAACGGGAGCUAAUACCGCAUCCGUCCUGAGGGAGAAAGUGGGGGAUCUUCGGACCUCACGCUAUCAGAUGAGCCUAGGUCGGAUUAGCUAGUUCGUGGGGUAAAGGCCUACCAAGGCGACGAUCCGGAACUGGUCUGAGAGGAUGAUCAGUCACACUUGAACUUAGACACGGUCCAGACUCCUACGGGGAGCAGCAGUGGGGAAUAUUGGACAAUGGGCGAAAGCCUUAUCCAGCCAUGCCGCGUGUGUGAAGAAGGUCUUCGGAUUGUAAAGCACUUGAAGUUGGGAGGAAGGGCAGUAAGUUAAUACCUUGCUGGUUUGACGGUACCAACAGAAUAAGCACCGGCUAACUUCGUG
rnacentral:rRNA from 1 species